rnacentral:rRNA from 1 species
UACGUAGGGGGCGAGCGUUACCCGGAAUUACUGGGCGUAAAGGGUGCGUAGGCGGCCCCGUGUGUCCGGUGUAAAAGCCCACGGCUCAACCGUGGAUAUGCGCUGGAAACUGCGGGGCUUGGGUGCGGCAGAGGCAGACGGAACUGCUGGUGUAGGGGUGAAAUCCGUAGAUAUCAGCAGGAACGCCGGUGGAGAAGUCGGUCUGCUGGGCCGUAACCGACGCUGAGGCACGAAAGCUAGGGGAGCGAACCGGAUUAGAUACCCGGGUAGUCCUAGCCGUAAACGAUGCUCACUAGGUGUGGGGCGUAAAGCUCCGUGCUGAAGCUAACGCGUUAAGUGAGCCGCCUGGGGAGUACGCCCGCAAGGGUGAAACUCAAAGGAAUUGACGGGGGCCCGCACAAGCGGUGGAGCGUGUGGUUUAAUUGGAAGCUAAGCCAAGAACCUUACCAGGGCUUGACGUGCUGGUGGUACCGAGCCGAAAGGUGAGGGACCCUGCCGUUUGGUAGGGAGCCAGCACAGGUGGUGCACGGUCGUCGUCAGCUCGUGCCGUGAGGUGUUGGGUUAAGUCCCGCAACGAGCGCAACCCCUGCCCUUAGUUGCCAGCGCGUAAGGCGGGCACUCUAAGGGGACUGCCGGCGACGAGCCGGAGGAAGGAGGGGAUGACGUCAGAUACUCGUGCCCCUUAUGCCCUGGGCGACACACGCGCUACAAUGGGGUGGACAGCGGGACGCGAGCCAGCAAUGGUGAGCAAAUCCCUUAAACCACCCCCCAGUUCAGAUUGUGGGCUGCAACCCGCCCACAUGAAGCCGGAAUCGCUAGUAAUCGCGGAUCAGCCAUGCCGCGGUGAAUACGUUCCCGGGCC